rnacentral:misc_RNA from 1 species
CAGUCGUAGUAGCCCUUUAUUGCCAGGAUCGCGGUCUCCAAGAUGAAAAGCGAACUCCUGGCGAGCUUCCACCAGAAUUAAGAGACACUCGAGGCGCUUUUUAAUUAGCACGAAAGGACAUCAUCGGGGAGAGUCAGAGCUUCGUUCUAAAUACGUAAUUAAAGCCGUGAAUGGGGUAGUUACAGUAACUGCGUGAAGCGUCAUCGACUGCCAGUGAAAUCGGCCGGAAAACGCACUCUUUCGGAAGCGUGCUGGCGCAAUUCCUCUUCCCACGUCCUCUCAAAUACUCAUUCUCAUAACUUUAUCUAUAUUUACGCGUGAAGCAUCUUCGUCGUGAAUGCAAAUCUUUCAGAAAUUUGUUUACAUUCUCUCAUCGAGGAAGCAUCACGGUGGCAUCCCUCUUUCACGAUACAAAGCACGUGUUAUUCGCCGCUUCGCAUUUCUCUAAAAUUCUUCCAGCAUUCUCGUACGAAGGAGAAAUCACGGCAGGAUUUUCUUCACGAUGCGAAACACGUGUCGUUCGCCGCAGAAUCUGCCUGUCUAUGGAAUUCUUCGAGUAUAAUCUCUCCCCUUCUGACGAAAAUUCAGAGGAUUCCGAAGAAAAGCAAAAAAUCGAAAUUCGAAAGCCUGGUGUUUGAGUAAGUACACACAGGAUGCCUUUGAAAGCAUCUUCGGGCGCACGAAGCGCGCGCGAAAGAGAUGAACGAGAUCGGGGCGCGAGGUCGAGGGAGGCUGGCACAGCUUGAAAGGGAGGGGGAGAACCCGAGGGCCGAGAAAGAGAGGGAAAUUCAAAGAUGGCGCCACGCGU